AACGAACGCUGGCGGCAGGCCUAACACAUGCAAGUCGAACGCACCGCAAGGUGAGUGGCGCACGGGUGAGUAACACGUGGGAAUGUACCCUUUGGUUCGGAAUAACGUUUGGAAACGAACGCUAAUACCGGAUGAGCCCUACGGGGGAAAGAUUUAUCGCCAAAGGAGCAGCCCGCGUCUGAUUAGCUAGUUGGUGGGGUAAAGGCCUACCAAGGCGACGAUCAGUAGCUGGUCUGAGAGGAUGAUCAGCCACACUGGGACUGAGACACGGCCCAGACUCCUACGGGAGGCAGCAGUGGGGAAUAUUGGACAAUGGGCGCAAGCCUGAUCCAGCCAUGCCGCGUGAGUGAUGAAGGCCUUCGGGUUGUAAAGCUCUUUCGCACACGACGAUGAUGACGGUAGUGUGAGAAGAAGCCCCGGCUAACUUCGUGCCAGCAGCCGCCGUAAGAC
rnacentral:rRNA from 1 species